CUGCACUCCUCACUCCAUCCCCUGUUUAUUCAGCUCACCGGCAAGGCCCCUGCCCAGCCCCUUUGGCGCCACAGUGGAGCGUCUCGCCGGCACGCGUGAGCGGCAAAGCCGCGCACGGCUCCAUCGAGACCGUCACCUGGUCAGCUCAAUGGGCUCAAGGUAGUGGACCGGGUUUGAUUAAUGGCGCCAAAGAGAAUCCUUAAAGAGUUGACAGAUCUGCAGAAGGACCUGCCCACCUCUUGCAACGCAGGAUGGCAUCGGAGAGCGGUUAGGCUAGUGCCAAUGAAAACGGAUUGCCCUACAGCCCGAGGAAGAAGGAGAAGCAAUCAAAUCAUCAGCGGCUGAGCCUGACAUUGGUCAAAAAAAAAUUGUCACCAUGGAACAAGACUUUUUCCUUUCUGGGUGUUUUUGUCUAAACCAGUAGUAAUUUAUGUUGUAUUACCUUCUAUCCAAACACAUUUUUUCAAUGGCAGAUGUAAAAUGUUCUGGACCUGUAUUUUACAAGGGUUUUUGGUUCUAAGACUGACCUUCCAAAUAGCAUCUUAGUUGUAACCAAAACAGUGGAUCCAAUACAUUGAGUGAAACAAAAGUAUAGGAAAGAUGCGCAAUCACUUUUA